rnacentral:rRNA from 1 species
GACGAACGCUGGCGGCGUGCUUAACACAUGCAAGUCGAACGAGAAUCUGUGGAAAGAGGAUUCGUCCAAUUGAAGCAGAGGACAGUGGCGGACGGGUGAGUAACGCGUGAGGAACCUGCCUUUCAGAGGGGGACAACAGUUGGAAACGACUGCUAAUACCGCAUGACACAUAGGUGUCGCAUGGCACUUAUGUCAAAGAUUUAUCGCUGAAAGAUGGCCUCGCGUCUGAUUAGCUAGUUGGUGAGGUAACGGCCCACCAAGGCGACGAUCAGUAGCCGGACUGAGAGGUUGAACGGCCACAUUGGGACUGAGAUACGGCCCAGACUCCUACGGGAGGCAGCAGUGGGGAAUAUUGGGCAAUGGGCGCAAGCCUGACCCAGCAACGCCGCGUGAAGGAAGAAGGCUUUCGGGUUGUAAACUUCUUUUGUCAGGGACGAGUAGAAGACGGUACCUGACGAAUAAGCCACGGCUAACUACGGGCCAGCCGCCGCCGUAA